CUACGGGGGGCAGCAGUGGGGAAUAUUGGGCAAUGGGCGCAAGCCUGACCCAGCAACGCCGCGUGAGGGAAGAAUGUCUUCGGAUUGUAAACCUCUGUCCUUGGGGACGAAAAAAAUGACGGUACCCAAGGAGGAAGCUCCGGCUAACUACGUGCCAGCAGCCGCGGUAAUACGUAGGGAGCAAGCGUUGUCCGGAAUUAUUGGGCGUAAAGGGUGCGUAGGCGGCGCUGUAAGUCAGAUGUGAAAUCCCCGGGCUUAACUCGGGAGUUGCAUUUGAAACUACAGUGCUUGAGUAAAGAGGGGUAAGUGGAAUUCCUGGUGUAGCGGUGGAAUGCGUAGAUAUUAGGAAGAACACCAGUGGCGAAGGCGACUUACUGGUCUUUUACUGACGCUGAGGCACGAAAGCGUGGGGAGCAAACAGGAUUAGAUACCCUCGUAGUC
rnacentral:rRNA from 1 species